AGGAGACACAGUAGGAUUUCUGUUAGACUUGAAUGAAAAGCAAAUGAUCUUCUUUUUAAAUGGCAACCAGCUGCCUCCUGAGAAGCAAGUCUUUUCAUCUACUGUAUCUGGAUUUUUUGCUGCAGCUAGUUUCAUGUCGUAUCAACAAUGUGAGUUCAAUUUUGGAGCAAAACCAUUCAAAUAUCCACCAUCUAUGAAAUUUAGCACUUUUAAUGACUACGCCUUCCUCACAGCUGAAGAGAAAAUCAUUUUGCCAAGGCACAGGCGCCUUGCUCUGUUGAAGCAAGUCAGUAUCCGGGAAAACUGCUGCUCCCUGUGUUGUGACGAAGUAGCAGACACACAACUGAAGCCAUGUGGACACAGGUAAGAGGGUUUGGUCAUUUCUUU